rnacentral:rRNA from 1 species
AAGUCGAACGGUAACAGGAAGCAGCUUGCUGCUUUGCUGACGAGUGGCGGACGGGUGAGUAAUGUCUGGGAAACUGCCUGAUGGAGGGGGAUAACUACUGGAAACGGUAGCUAAUACCGCAUAACGUCGCAAGACCAAAGAGGGGGACCUUCGGGCCUCUUGCCAUCGGAUGUGCCCAGAUGGGAUUAGCUAGUAGCUGGGGUAACGGCUCACCUAGGCGACGAUCCCUAGCUGGUCUGAGAGGAUGACCAGCCACACUGGAACUGAGACACGGUCCAGACUCCUACGGGAGGCAGCAGUGGGGAAUAUUGCACAAUGGGCGCAAGCCUGAUGCAGCCAUGCCGCGUGUAUGAAGAAGGCCUUCGGGUUGUAAAGUACUUUCAGCGGGGAGGAAGGCGACAGGGUUAAUAACCCUGUCGAUUGACGUUACCCGCAGAAGAAGCACCGGCUAACUCCGUGCCAGCAGCCGCGGUAAUACGGAGGGUGCAAGCGUUAAUCGGAAUUACUGGGCGUAAAGCGCACGCAGGCGGUCUGUCAAGUCGGAUGUGAAAUCCCCGGGCUCAACCUGGGAACUGCAUUCGAAACUGGCAGGCUAGAGUCUUGUAGAGGGGGGUAGAAUUCCAGGUGUAGCGGUGAAAUGCGUAGAGAUCUGGAGGAAUACCGGUGGCGAAGGCGGCCCCCUGGACAAAGACUGACGCUCAGGUGCGAAAGCGUGGGGAGCAAA